rnacentral:lncRNA from 1 species
GUUCUCUAGCUUUGUUUUUGACAAAGACGUUUACAGUUUUAAUUUUACGGACAUAAUAGGAAGUUGUUCUUUUUGAUCUGGUUAUAAGAAACAGGUUCUCCUUCGUUUUUCAUUUGCUUCAAACGAUCUUCGUAUUGUUUGCCUUUGAUCUUUUUAAAGAAAUCCUUUUGUGUUUUUGUAGAGUGUUCAUUAAGUCGUUCAUCUGUUAUAGAAUGCCUCAAACCACUAGAUCUUUCAAAUUCAUCUGAUAGUCUACUGACUUCUGGUCCAGCUACCAUCAAUAUGUCUAAAAGGGAUCUUCGGUUAAACCUAUGACAACAACAUCGCCCUUCACAAUUGCAUUAUUCUG